rnacentral:lncRNA from 1 species
ACUGGCACAAGUGUCUUCCUAGAAGAACAAAGUCAUCAUUAAAUCAGUGCAGAUGAGAGAUGAGGAGCCCGGGUGAUGCAGAGUCCCCAGGAUGCACCAGACCUGCAGAAGACCUGUUUUCAUGGAAACGUUGUCUACUAAGCAGUAGCAGACUGCUUCAUCUUAGACUUGAUCAUCACAGAGCGAAGAGGAAAACCUACAGCACUGAGAAAUUUAAAGUCAUUACCUCUUGUCCUGUGACUACACUCCCUGAUAAAGAGUCCUUCAGCUUCCUCAGCCUUUUUUGAGCAGUAUAGAACAUGGGCAACCAGAGGCUGUCUCAUAUUCGGGACCACCAGGUAUGAUGACCACACUGAUGGGAUAUUUCUGGGGCAAAGACAACCUACCCAACUGGAAACACACGUAUAUCGAGAGUGGCUGCUCUUGUCAAAAACUACAGUGGACUGAUUUCACUUUCCAGUGGUGGAUGGAGCAUCUCAAACCUUAGACAGAAUCCCAUCUCCUCAUCCUCCCUGCACAAAACCCCAUCUCCCCAUGGGAAGCAUGCAGGACAGAUUUCUGCUCUUUGCUGAUGUCUUUGUCCUGGCAGCCCCUCAUAGCAGCCUGCAGCUUCCUCAUGGCAGCCUAUAAGCGAUAGCCUGAACCCUUUCAUUUCUUGUUAGCAAGCCAUAUUAAUCCCUAAAACAACUCCCCUCCACUUGCUCACCUUGAACUACAAGAACUCAUUUCUCAUUCAUCCACACAGCAUCAUAAACAGAGCCGCAGUGGCAUGAGGGGACAGCAGCAUGGGGGAAAAUGGCUCUCUUUAAUGAGAUGCAUCCCUGUCUUGCCACCCCUCCAUGUGCCCCACUGCCUCCCUCACCCUCUGCUAGGUCUGGAUCAGAAGCAGAGCACGUCUCCCCAUUCCUUUCCAAGAGACGGACCCCUGCAGAGGCGAGGAGAUUAACACCGCUGGGCUGUGCCAAACGGCAGGCUGAUUCCUCAAUGUGGGUCAUGUCCCAUGGGACCAGAGCCAAAAGCAAACCAGUCUGUCAUUGCAGAGUAUUUAUAGGAGGGCUGAACCUACCCCGCAGCCCCUGCACGGCCUCCCCACCCUUCUCAUCCGCUUGCUGAAUGCUUAAAUUUGAAACAGUUGUUGCAUGUUGUUUUAUGGCUGCUGGGGUAUGGCUGGCUGUCUCCCUUAUCGGUGUAAAACGGGGAGCUGUCAAGUGGGAGGGAACGCAUGAGUGGUUUGGUUGAAGUUUUUCAUUUCUUCUGUGCUUCUGAUUCCCCCCAAGCUGGCUUGGUUUGCAAGUGGAGACACCAGGAAUGGGUUGUAGUGGGAUGCUCUCGGCGUUGAUCCAGGGAGGACUUUCUGGUCCGAUGAGCCUGGACAUUGAAGUCCUCUGACAGAGAGCCAGAGAUACUUCAGGAGAAGAGAGGGCUUAUCUGGAGAAGAGGAGGCUCAGGGGAGACCUUUUAUCUCUCUACACUACAGCUACCUGAAAGAAGGUUGUGGUGAGGUGAGGGCCAGCCUCUUCUCCCAUGGAACUAGCGAUAGGAUGAGGGGAAAUGGCCUCCAGUUGCACCAGGGGAGGUUCAGUUUGGGAGUUAGGAAACAUUUCUUCUCCAAAAGAGUGGUCAGGCACUGGAAUGGGCUGCCCAAGGAGGUGGUUGAGUCACCGUCCCUGAAGGUGUUCAAGAAACAUCUAGAUGUUGUACUGAGAGACAUGGUUUAGUGGGGAAAUAAUGGCGGUAUGUUGAACUCGAUGGUCUUGGAGGUCUUUUCCAACCUUGGUGAUUCUAUGAUUCAACUUUGCUCUGAGGUGCUCUGUCAGCAGAGCCUUCCUGCCUGUCCUCCAAUGAGUUUGGAGAGAGAGAAGUAUUUACACACUUCUGGAGAAGAAAACUGGAGAGAGAAGUCCGAUGGGGAUAGUGAGGUGGAGACAGACCGAAGAAGUUUUGAGCACAGUCAGGUUUGGCUUUAGAAGGCAAAAGACCCCAGUUCAACAUUCUCCAUUCUGCAUCCAAAGAGGAAAGGAAAACCAUCUUCAUGUGCAGGAGAACAUGAACGCCACAUCACUGGAUUGGAAUAAAUACCAACAUAAACUCUGUGGUGAUCUCAAACCUCACAUGGUCCCUUUUCUCUCUUAUUCCACCAACUCACCAUAAAUGCUGUGUUUUACUAAGGUCGUAGCUUCACCUGGGGAGGAAGUAUCUAGGGUUUGAAACCCACUAAGAGAUGUAGAGGAUCAGUGUUGGUGAGUUUAUCCCUGUCUGCAGAGAGGAUGAAAUGUCUAAACUGAGACAGGUAAGAACUGGAAUCUGAUGGAAGACAGGGAAGAGAGGAGAACAAGAAAACUGGAAAAAGGAGAGAACUUCUAACCUACAAUCACACUGUCCGUGCUGGUUGAAAUCCAGGUAUAAACACACCCGUUUCCUUAUGUUUUACUUUUCAGAACAUGUCUUGAAGACAGAAACAGGGGUUAGAAGAGCAGAUUUUACUCCUGUGAUUAAGAUUUGCACCAUUUGACUUUGGGUUGUAAAGAAAAAGAAGAAAAAAUAAAACAAGGGAAAAAAAAAAGAGUAAUGCUUUACUAAUUAAGGCACAAUUGAAAGUGAUUGGUGUGCACUGGCAAGCUGCUCCUCUCAGAAAGAGCUGGACUGACAUCUCUACAAUCACUCAGUGAGUAAGCACUGCGAAAACACUGUUUGGCCUGGAAGGAGCUAAUAAGUGCAUAGAUAAAAUCUUAUUUUGAAAGCAACAACAAAGGGCAUGUGAUUUAUAUCUUAGUUGGUGACUUCAUAUGUUUUGCAGAGUUUCUCCAAAAUAUAUCGGAAUUCAUAAUUCAUUUUUAUAACGCAUUACAUUAAAAUAAUAAAUGUCAGGAAGUUUUUCAAGAGACUGAAAAUUCUGUAAGCAGUGCUGAGUGAUCAAAGGAGGAUUUUGACAGGGAGAGACUCCCGUUGACUUGGGGCUUUGGAUCAGACCUGACGCUGGCAACAAAAUGGACAACAGUUAAUAAAAGUGUGCCUGUUAGAACUUGGAUAAGUUAGAGCAGCUAAUUGCAGCAUCUCAACACAAGUUGGGGGAAGAUGCAUGCUGGCUGGAUCCUCACCGCUGCAUGUGAUGGGAUGCUGUUGCUCGUCUACAUGGCAGCAACCAUGGAUGAGCCAAGACAAAGGAAGUGAUAGAGGAGGUGGAGGAGAGAGCAGGGAUUAGAGGGCUGGAGGAAAAACAACUUUCAGGGGGAGAAACCAUUCCAAAACCUACAUUUAUGCAAGGAAAAAGACUGCUGAGUUAAAAGUAGUAUAUCAUUUCUGGACUUUUUCAUUUCCUACAUGUUGGAGGAGUUAUCUCUGUGUGUUUCCAUUCUUUUUCUUAAUGGAGGCAUAUAUGACGUGUUUCUCACUCAUUGUAGUAUUUCAUGUUUUCAUGAGUGUUAACAAAAGCAUGGGACAAAGCCAAAGAGGUAACUACCCACCAUACCCUAGUGCAGCUGUUUCACGUUUAUAAAACUCAUGUAUCACCAUGCAGAAUUGGUCAGUGUUUUGCCUGUCUGUACCUGCAGGGAUGUAUUUUGCUGCAAAAUGCCAUUCAGGUUUGUGGACCACAAAAUGGAGAUGGAGAUCCCACAACUUCAGUUGUAGAGCAACCAGAACUCAUUCUCUCCUCACACAUCUAGAGCUCCACUCCCAGCCAUCCUAGUGGCCUUGCUGGGCUUUUUUCUAACCAUGCUGGUGGCCUUGCUGGGUGUUUUCCUAGCUCCUGGUACUAGGGAGCUCAAGUCCAGUGCCCAGAUGUGAUCUCAGGGUCUGAGUAGAGGGGAAGAAUUAUAUCCCCUAGCUUGCUAGCUGCCCCUUUGCAAAUUCACCUCUGGAUGUGAUCAUCCUGUGCUGCAAGUGUGGAGACAUAGUAGUGAGGACCUCAUAGUCUACCAAGAUGCCCCUGGUCUAUCCAGAUGGUCCCAGCUUGUGCUGCCACAUGGGUUAUUCCUCCUCAUAUACUGAACUCUACAUUUCUCUGCGGUGAACUUCUUGAGAUUCCUGCUAAUCCUUCUCUCCACCUCAUUUCUUCGAAUAGCAUUGCUCCUCUGCACUGCAUCAAUCACUCCUUGUUUGUGUGUCCUCUGCAGACUUGCUGAGAGGGCAGCCUGUUCACUGCCUAAGGGCUGCUUGAGCUGCCAGGUAGCUCCACAAUGACAUCCUUUGGAAAUGUGCACCACCUCCGACUUGAUCAGCUGGGCUGUACAACCUUAAUGGUAUAGAAGAUGCAGUUUCCAUGCAGUUUCAAGUCGUCAUCCAACUUUUAGAUGCAAGAUCUAAAGGCCCAUGUGGUACUUUAAUAUCUUGAUGAUUUACAGCUGGGAUUGAGACUUUGUCCAAACUUUCACUCCAUUUGUAUAAACCUUUCAUGCUGAUUGAGAACUCUGCAAAUGAAGUCUCUGACUUUUAUUUACACUUUAUGAAAAUUGAGUUGUUCUCAAGUGACCCUACAUCUCACCUCAGAGUGGUGAAAAUUCACAGCCACGGAGCGUGGAUUCAUGCAGACUGAGGGCUCAGUUUGUAGAUCUGAAUCUACAGAUAUUCAAAGAGAUUUUUCCCAGGGGAAAACAGUCAAAUGUGGAUGAUAAAAGUGAGUGAGUAAUGUACUGAGAGCAUAUCUUCUUACUGCAUUUGCUCGGAGUGUCUGUUUAUGAUGAAUGUAAAGCAGACCCAACAGCAGAGUUCAGUUAGGGGUGUGCGUUUAUGUGCUGGGAUUUUAUGUCUAACAUGGCCUGUUAGGCUUUUUGAAAAGGAAAAACAUAAAACCUUGCCUGUUUUCUUAAAAAAAUGCAUUACUGUACUGCUCUUCGUGUUUUAAAGUACUGAUAAAAAAGAAAGAAAGAAAGAAAGAAGUUGUUUAUAUUAUUUGUAUUACCUUAAGCCCCAGGAAGAACAGACACAACUCCAUUUGCAAGCAAAUAUAGCUUGUGUUGGAUUGAAUAGCCCAAGAAGGUGUCAUUAUUCCUUUCUCAGAAUGCAUCAGCUAAACGUCUUGCUGAGGUUCACAUACAAACCCUACAGCAAAGCUGGGCCUGCGACCAGAACAGCUCCUGCCAAGAAAACAAAGACCGUAUCAGCUGGAUGGUAGGUGCCUGUGAUGUGUGAGGGAUAAGCAGAGAGCUGUGGAAAGAUUUCUGAGAAGGAACCACAUCAGUGUGCUGGGCCAGCGCUCCCUUGGUGCCUGAAACCUCCAGCUGCUGAUGUUCUGGAGUGAGAAAAUGGGCAGAGAGAUUAUUUUUGAAUUUUUGAGGGCUGGCUUUGCAUCUUGGCCCAUCUUUUUCUGGAAACGGUUAGUAGUUGUAACUGACUCCCAGAUGUGUGGCUAAAAUAAUUUGCUUUUAUUAAUAUUCAGAUAUGAGAAUCCAGAAAUAAAGUGGGGAAAGAUGUUAAGGGCAGACUAUUGCAGGUUUUCUUGCCUUUUGCCUUGAAAAUGCUUGUGCAGGCCCUAGCUGGAGGCAGGUUCCAGGAUGUAGAAUCACAGAGUCAUUAAGAUUGCAAAAGACAUCUAAGAUCACCAACUCCAACUGCUGACCCAUCCCCACCAUGCUCACUAAACCAAACCCUCAGAACAUCUCCAUGGUUGAGCCCUUCCUGGGAUGGCGACUCCACCACUUCCCUGAGCUGCCUGUUCCAAUGCAUUGCCAUCAAUGCCAUUUUGAGUUGGGAUGGUGCUUCUUAACUUUGCCUGGGCUCAAGCCUGCACUACUGGCCUGUGAACAUCUCAUCAGUUUUACUACUUCUCUCCACUGCCUUGCAAGAGUGGACAGUGCCAUAUAUCCUUUUGACUUGGUCUAGAGGGAGGUGUCCCUGCCCAUAGCAGGAAGGUUGGAACUAGAUGGUCUUAAAGAUCCCUUCCAAGCCAAACCAUUCUAUGAUUCUGAUUCUGUGACAGGAGACAGACAGGCUACAAUCACACUACAGUGACCAACUCACUGUGAUGAUUUAGAGAAACUGGUAGAGCUCCUGAAUUGCAGACUGAUUUUAUGAAAGCUCGCCAAAGUUUGCAUUUCAUGUCUCAUGGAAGCACUCCAAAGAGUGCAGAAUGGGAGCUCCAGGUGAGCUCAUGUGUCCUGGGCAGUGUGAAAGAGCAACGCUCUCCCUGGUGGACUGCACUACAGCACAUGAUCCCUUCCAGAUGAGGCAAAAUCUCCUUUGCAACAUGACAGAAAGAGCCAGCACCACAGAGGGCAUGGAGGAAGCUUCAGGGCAUACAGAUCUGAGAUGGCAGAACCAAAUAUGUCUUUCAAGGUAGCACAAAGCCAAAGGGGAGCCUUUCUCAGCUCAGACCCUCCAUACAUUCUCAUCCAAACUGCUAAGCUUUGCUAGGGGAGGUUGCAUUUCACCAGUGGAUGGGGUGGUUUCUCUGUGUCAUUUCACUUGCUGAAGACUCUUCUGACUUAGGUCUGUGAGCUGGUAUUAUUAUUAUUAUUAAUAAUAAUUUAUCGCAUAGUUCCCCUCUUAUUUUGAACAAGGUCUUUGAUCAUCUCUUUCACCUUCUCAGCCCUUGGAGCAAUUUGCCAUUUGUCAGGAAGAAAUAGGAGAUGAAGCUGCUCUUCCUCACAUUGCAAUUGUUGGGGAAUUCCAGAGAUGGAUGGGAACAGGACAGGAACUGAAAUAAAUCUCCCCCAUCCAAAGCUCUGAAUCCCACUCUCUCCUUAAUAAUAAAGAGAUUUACUUCAAGCCUUUCCCAAUAAAACCAAGUGUGUGUGUGCAUCAUAGGUUGAAGGAACAUAUAUUUGAAACCUGAAAGCAGAAUGAGAAGUAAAACCUUGUAAAUUUGCCUCAGAUAACUUGUAAUCUCAUCCUCAGCUGUCUGACCUCACUAAUUUAUUAUGUCUUGCACCAGUCACUUUUGGGAUUGGGGAUAUAUUUGUUUCCAAGCUAAGGCAAAAGGUUUUCACUGUGUUUGUGUGAAGAGAAGACCCCACGUAGAGCAGGUCCAUGGUUAUAUAUUAAAG